rnacentral:rRNA from 1 species
GCCGGCAGCUAGCUCUCUGCAACUCUCACGUGGUCACCCACUGAAGCUAAGCAGGGCUGCGCCUGGUCAGUACCUGGAUGGUAGACCCCAUGCCUUAUGGUAGAAAGGUAGAUGUGGGUG